rnacentral:lncRNA from 10 species
UACUGACCAAGAGCCACAGAUUAAAGACAGAAAGACGGCGUGUGAACAGGCAUUGCUAUCCCUACCGCCAUCUUUUUAAAGAGAAGACUGAGUCCCGGGGAACCCAUGCUGGGGACGUCAAGCCUAGAAGAGCAGAGUCCAAGGACUGGACUGACUGCUCGUCUUCAAACAUCUGAAGGGCUGUCAAGAGGAAAGUCUUUGUCUUGUUCUUGGAGAGCCCCAAGGGCACAACCAGGCCCCAUGAGUGGCUGCUCAGUGAAGCCAAUUUUUGCUCAGAAUUCUGAUAAUGGAAUGGGAGCUUCACAAAGCUAAGUGCUUCCAGCAGGGCGAGUGAACAGUUGUAAAAACUGUUUAUAGAAAUUCCUGUGUUUGAAGAUGAAAGUUUCUUAAAGUCUGAGCCAUGGGAUACCCAAUGGUGAUUUUCAAGUACAACAGCAACUCACUGCUCCAUCCCUGCUGAGGCUUUAGGAAGAGAUCUAGUCCUCGAUUCUUCUGAAACUUUCACUAAAAUAAAACUAGUGUACAAACGUAAGGAGUGGUGGCAAGGCUAGAUACAGUACGAUCCACCGCCCCCUUCAGGCUACAGACAAGUAAACGAAGGCUCUGGGAAGGCAGCUGACUUGCCUAUAAACCAGGCCGAUGCUUUUCUAGUAGUUUCCUGAUCUACCCUGCUUCUCCUGUCAGGUUACUGCAGCAAACAGGGAAACAGCACUCCAACAAGUGCCAUGCCGAAG